rnacentral:rRNA from 1 species
AACGAACGCUGGCGGCAUGCCUAACACAUGCAAGUCGAACGAGACCUUCGGGUCUAGUGGCGCACGGGUGCGUAACGCGUGGGAACCUGCCCUUAGGUUCGGAAUAACUCCCCGAAAGGGGUGCUAAUACCGGAUAAUGUCUUCGGACCAAAGAUUUAUCGCCUUUGGAUGGGCCCGCGUUGGAUUAGCUAGUUGGUAGGGUAAAAGCCUACCAAGGCGACGAUCCAUAGCUGGUCUGAGAGGAUGAUCAGCCACACUGGGACUGAGACACGGCCCAGACUCCUACGGGAGGCAGCAGUGGGUAAUAUUGGACAAUGGGCGAAAGCCUGAUCCAGCACUGCCGCGUGAGUGAUGAAGGCCUUAGGGUUGUAAAGCUCUUUUACCCGGGAUGAUAAUGACAGUACCGGGAGAAUAAGCUCCGGCUAACUCCGUG